rnacentral:tRNA from 4 species
GGAGAGGUGGCAGAGUGGUCGAAUGCGCUCGCUUGGAAAGCGUGUGUAGGGCAACCUACCGAGGGUUCGAAUCCCUCCCUCUCCGCCA